GGAGUCGGCCGGGUAACCGCUGCCGCGCAUGCGCGGGGGAGGAAAGUCCGGGCUCCACAGGGCAAGGUGCCAGGUAACGCCUGGGCGGCGUGAGCCGACGGAAAGUGCAACAGAGAACAGACCGCCGAAGCUCCGCAAGGAGCUGGCAAGGGUGAAACGGUGCGGUAAGAGCGCACCGCGGGGCUGGCAACAGCAACGGCAUGGCAAACCCCACCUGGAGCAAGGCCAAAUAGGGAAGGACUCGCCGGCAACGGCGAAACGCGCGGCCCGCGCGCCUUCCGGGUAGGUCGCUGGAGCGGCGUAGCGAUGCGUCGCCUAGAGGAAUGGUUGCCGGGGCGUGAUGAGCGCCCGCACAGAACCCGGCUUACAGGCCGACUCCGAUU
rnacentral:RNase_P_RNA from 1 species